rnacentral:rRNA from 1 species
GGCUAAUACCGGAUAAGCCGAGAGGUGAAAUGGCUAUGCCGCCUGAAGAUGAGCUCGCGUCUGAUUAGCUAGUUGGUAGGGUAUGAGCCUACCAAGGCGACGAUCAGUAGCUGGUCUGAGAGGAUGACCAGCCACACUGGGACUGAGACACGGCCCAGACUCCUACGGGAGGCAGCAGUGGGGAAUUUUCCGCAAUGGGCGAAAGCCUGACGGAGCAAUACCGCGUGAGGGAGGAAGGCCUUUGGGUUGUAAACCUCUUUUCUCAGGGAAGAAAAUUGACGGUACCUGAGGAAUAAGCAUCGGCUAACUCCGUGCCAGCAGCCGCGGUAAUACGGAGGAUGCAAGCGUUAUCCGGAAUGAUUGGGCGUAAAGGGUCUGCAGGUGGCCGUGUAAGUCUGCUGUUAAAGAAUCUGGCUUAACCAGAUAAAAGCAGUGGAAACUACAGGGCUAGAGUGCGUUCGGGGUAGAGGGAAUUCCUGGUGUAGCGGUGAAAUGCGUAGAUAUCAGGAAGAACACCAGUGGCGAAAGCGCUCUACUAGGCCGCAACUGACACUGAGGGACGAAAGCUAGGGGAGCGAAUGGGAUUAGAUACCC